rnacentral:misc_RNA from 1 species
GAUGAAGAACGCAGCGAAAUGCGAUAAGUAAUGCGAAUUGCAGAAUUCCGUGAGUCAUCGAAUCUUUGAACGCACAUUGCGCCCUCUGGUAUUCCGGAGGGCAUGCCUGUCUGAGCGUCAUUGUCAACCCUCAAGCUCAGCUUGCUGUUGGGUCCCCGUCGUUGCUUUAACGGCGGACCCGAAAGGUAAUGGCAGAGUCCGUGAGACCCUAGACGCAGCGAGCUUCUAGCACGCGUCUGGACGUUUUUCAGGCUCGGUCUUAACUAGAUGAUAACUUCCGAUUGACCUCAGAUCAGGUAGGGAUACCCGCUGAACUUAAGCAUAUCAUAAGCGGAGGA